rnacentral:rRNA from 1 species
AUACAUAGGGGGCGAGCGUUAUCCGGAUUUAUUGGGCGUAAAGGGUGCGUAGGCGGUAAAUUAAGUCUAAGGUUAAAGUGCAGGGCUCAACCCUGUGAUGCCUUAGAAACUGGUUUACUUGAGUUUGGUAGAGGUAAGUGGAACUCCAUGUGUAGCGGUAAAAUACGUAAAUAUAUGGAAGAACACCAGUGGCGAAGGGGGCUUACUGGGCCACAACUGACGCUGAGGCACGAAAGCGUGGGGAGCAAACAGGAUUAGAUACCCUGGUAGUCCACGCUGUAAACGAUGAAUACUAAGUGUUGGAAAAAUCCAGUUCUGAAGUUAACGCAUUAAGUAUUCCGCCUGAGUAGUACGUACGCAAGUAUGAAACUCAAAGGAAUUGACGGGG